UACGGAGGGUGCGAGCGUUGUUCGGCCUCACGGGGCGUAAAGCGCGUGUGGGCGGUCUGGCAAGUCUGGUGUGAAAGCCCGGGGCUCACCCCCGGAAGUGCACUGGAAACUGCCAGACUCGAGUCCCGGAGAGGAGAGUAGAAUUCCUGGUGUAGCGGUGAAAUGCGUAGAUAUCAGGAGGAAUACCGGUGGCGAAGGCGGCUCUCUGGACGGUGACUGACGCUGAGACGCGAAAGCGUGGGGAGCAAAUAGG
rnacentral:rRNA from 1 species